rnacentral:misc_RNA from 1 species
GAACUGCGAUAAGUAAUGUGAAUUGCAGAAUUCAGUGAAUCAUCGAGUCUUUGAACGCACAUUGCGCCCCCUGGCAUUCCGGGGGGCAUGCCUGUCCGAGCGUCAUUGCUGCCCUUCAAGCCCGGCUUGUGUGUUGGUCGUCGUCCCCUCCGGGGGACGGGCCCGAAAGGCAGCGGCGGCACCGCGUCCGGUCCUCGAGCGUAUGGGGCUUUGUCACCCGCUCGAUAAGGACCGGCCGGGCGCCAGCCGGCGUCUCCAACCUUUUUUUCUCAGGUUGACCUCGGAUCAGGUAGGGAUACCCGCUGAACUUAAGC